UCAGGAUGAACGCUAGCUACAGGCUAACACAUGCAAGUCAGGGGCAGCGAGAGGAAAGCUUGCUUCCUGUCGGCGACCGGCGCACGGGUGAGUAACGCGUAUCCAACCUUCCCCAUAGUAGAGGAUAGCCCGGCGAAAGUCGGAUUAAUACUCUAUGUUGUACAACGAGGACAUCUGAAUUGUACCAAAGAUUCAUCGCUAUGGGAUGGGGAUGCGUCUGAUUAGCUUGUUGGCGGGGUAACGGCCCACCAAGGCGACGAUCAGUAGGGGUUCUGAGAGGAAGGUCCCCCACAUUGGUACUGAGACACGGACCAAACUCCUACGGGAGGCAGCAGUGAGGAAUAUUGGUCAAUGGACGAGAGUCUGAACCAGCCAAGUAGCGUGCAAGGAUGACUGCCCUAUGGGUUGUAAACUGCUUUUAUGCGGGAAUAAAGUCAGGUACGUGUACCUGUUUGUAUGUACCGCAUGAAUAAGGACCGGCUAAUUCCGUGCCAGCAGCCGC
rnacentral:rRNA from 1 species